rnacentral:rRNA from 1 species
GAUGAACGCUAGCGGCGGGCCUAAUACAUGCAAGUCGAACGAUAGAAGAGGGCUUGCUCUCUUCGAAAGUGGCGCACGGGUGCGUAACGCGUAUGCAACCUACCUUAAUCAGGGGGAUAGCCCGAAGAAAUUCGGAUUAACACCGCAUAAAAUCACAGUACAGCAUUGUACAAUGAUCAAAUAUUUACAGGAUUAAGAUGGGCAUGCGUGACAUUAGCUAGUUGGCGGGGUAACGGCCCACCAAGGCGACGAUGUCUAGGGGAUCUGAGAGGAUGACCCCCCACACUGGUACUGAGACACGGACCAGACUCCUACGGGAGGCAGCAGUAAGGAAUAUUGGUCAAUGGAGGCAACUCUGAACCAGCCAUGCCGCGUGCAGGAAGACGGCCCUCUGGGUUGUAAACUGCUUUUAUUCGGGAAUAAACCUCAUUACGUGUAAUGAGCUGAAUGUACCGAAGGAAUAAGGAUCGGCUAACUCCGUGCCAGCAGCCGCCGUAA